UACGAAGGGGGCUAGCGUUGCUCGGAUUUACUGGGCGUAAAGGGCGCGUAGGCGGACAGUUAAGUUGGGGGUGAAAGCCCGGGACUCAACCUCGGAACUGCCUUCAAUACUGGCUGUCUUGAGUGUGAGAGAGGUGUGUGGAACUCCGAGUGUAGAGGUGAAAUUCGUAGAUAUUCGGAAGAACACCAGUGGGCGAAGGCGACACACUGGCUCACUACUGACGCUGAGGCGCGAAGGCGUGGGGAGCAAACAGG
rnacentral:rRNA from 1 species